GAUGAACGCUGGCGGCGUGCCUAAUACAUGCAAGUCGAGCGAACAGACGAGGAGCUUGCUCCUCUGACGUUAGCGGCGGACGGGUGAGUAACACGUGGAUAACCUACCUAUAAGACUGGGAUAACUUCGGGAAACCGGAGCUAAUACCGGAUAAUAUAUUGAACCGCAUGGUUCAAUAGUGAAAGACGGUUUUGCUGUCACUUAUAGAUGGAUCCGCGCCGCAUUAGCUAGUUGGUAAGGUAACGGCUUACCAAGGCGACGAUGCGUAGCCGACCUGAGAGGGUGCUCCGCCACACUGGAACUGAGACACGGUCCAGACUCCUACGGGAGGCAGCAGUAGGGAAUCUUCCGCAAUGGGCGAAAGCCUGACGGAGCAACGCCGCGUGAGUGAUGAAGGUCUUCGGAUCGUAAAACUCUGUUAUUAGGGAAGAACAAAUGUGUAAGUAACUAUGCACGUCUUGACGGUACCUAAUCAGAAAGCCACGGCUAACUACGUG
rnacentral:rRNA from 1 species